rnacentral:rRNA from 1 species
GAUGAACGCUGGCGGCGUGCCUAAUACAUGCAAGUCGAGCGAAAAGACGAGGAGCUUGCUCCUUGGACGUUAGGGGCGGACGGGUGAGUAACACGUGGAUAAUCUACCUAUAAGACUGGUAAAACUUCGGGAAAGCGGAGCUAAUACCGGAUAACAUGUUGAACCGCAUGGUGCAACAGUAAAAGACGGCCUUGCGGUCACGAAUAGAUGGAUCCGCGCCGCAUUGGCUGGUUGGUAAGGUAACGGCUUAUCAAGGCAACGAUGCGUAGCCGAGCUGAGCGGGGGUACGGGCACAGUGGAGGUGAGCGGCCACAUAGAGUCCUACGGAAGGCAGCGGUAGCGACUGGUGCGAGAAGUGGGGAAGCCUGACGGAGGGGCGCAGCGCGGGUGAAGCAGGUCUUCGGAUGGUAAAACUGUGUUUUAGGGAAGAACCGCUGUGGCAGUAGAUAAGCACGUCUUGACGGUACCUAGUAAGAAAGCAACGGCUAACUACGUG